rnacentral:rRNA from 1 species
AGAGUUUGAUCCUGGCUCAGGAUGAACGCUAGCUACAGACUUAACACAUGCAAGUCGAGGGGCAGCGGUAUCGAAAGCUUGCUUUCGGUAGCCGGCGACCGGCGCACGGGUGAGUAACGCGUACCGAACCUGCCUCAUACUCGGGAAUAGCCUUGCGAAAGUAAGAUUAAUGCCCGGUGUUUUCAGAGUCCCGCAUGAGGCUUUGAACAAAGAUUUAUCGGUAUGAGAUGGCGAUGCGUCCCAUUAGCUUGUUGGCGGGGUAACGGCCCACCAAGGCAUCGAUGGGUAGGGGUUCUGAGAGGAAGGUCCCCCACAUUGGAACUGAGACACGGUCCAAACUCCUACGGGAGGCAGCAGUGAGGAAUAUUGGUCAAUGGGCGGAAGCCUGAACCAGCCAGGUAGCGUGCAGGAAGACGGCCCUCCGGGUUGUAAACUGCUUUUAGUUGGGAAUAAAACGGGGCUCGUGAGCCCCCUUGCAUGUACCAUCAGAAAAAGGACCGGCUAAUUCCGUGCCAGCAGCCGCGGUAAUACGGAAGGUCCGGGCGUUAUCCGGAUUUAUUGGGUUUAAAGGGAGCGCAGGCGGACCUUUAAGUCAGCUGUGAAAUACGGCGGCUCAACCGUCGAACUGCAGUUGAUACUGGAGGUCUUGAGUGCACACAGGGAUGCUGGAAUUCAUGGUGUAGCGGUGAAAUGCUCAGAUAUCAUGAAGAACUCCGAUCGCGAAGGCAGGCAUCCGGGGUGCAACUGACGCUGAGGCUCGAAAGUGCGGGUAUCAAACAGGAUUAGAUACCCUGGUAGUCCGCACAGUAAACGAUGAAUACUCGCGGUUUGCGAUAUAGUGUAAGCCGCCAAGCGAAAGCGUUAAGUAUUCCACCUGGGGGAGUACGCCGGCAACGGUGAAACUCAAAGGAAUUGACGGGGGCCCGCCAAACGGAGGAACAAUGUGGUUUAAUUCCAUGAUACCCGAGGAACCUUCCCCGGGUUGAAUUUGAGGAGAACAAUCCCAAAAAUUUUAAGGCCUUCCGGAACCCCUGUGAAGGGGUUGCCAGGGUGUCUUCACCCCUCGCCCCGAGGGGGCGCGUUAAUUGCCUAACAAAAGCGAACCCCUUCCCCUAAUUUGCCCCCCAGGGAGACUGGGGCACUUCCGGACAUCGCCCCCCAAAGGUGGGAGAGAGAGGGGGGGAGAGGGCGGCAAAAACAACACGGCCCUUACGUCCGGGGCUACACACGUGUUACAAUGGGUCAUACAGAGUGUUGUGCGUAUGCAAAUACGUUCUAAUCAUUAAAAUGAUCCUCAGUUCGGAUUGGGGUCUGCAACCCGACCCCAUGAAGCUGGAUUCGCUAGUAAUCGCGCAUCAGCCAUGGCGCGGUGAAUACGUUCCCGGGCCUUGUACACACCGCCCGUC